rnacentral:rRNA from 1 species
UGGGGAAUAUUGCACAAUGGGCGCAAGCCUGAUGCAGCCAUGCCACGUGUGUGAAGAAGGCCUUCGGGUUGUAAAGCACUUUCAGCGGGGAGGAAGGCGAUAAGGUUAAUAACCUUGUCGAUUGACGUUACCCGCAGAAGAAGCACCGGCUAACUCCGUGCCAGCAGCCGCGGUAAUACGGAGGGUGCAAGCGUUAAUCGGAAUUACUGGGCGUAAAGCGCACGCAGGCGGUCUGUCAAGUCGGAUGUGAAAUCCCCGGGCUCAACCUGGGAACUGCAUUCGAAACUGGCAGGCUAGAGUCUUGUAGAGGGGGGUAGAAUUCCAGGUGUAGCGGUGAAAUGCGUAGAGAUCUGGAGGAAUACCGGUGGCGAAGGCGGCCCCCUGGACAAAGACUGACGCUCAGGUGCGAAAGCGUGGGGAGCAAACAGG